rnacentral:rRNA from 1 species
AAAGAACGCUGGCGGCAUGCCUAACACAUGCAAGUCGAACGAGACAUUCGGGUCUAGUGGCGCACGGGCGCGUUACGCGACGGAACCUGCCCUUAGGUUCGGAAUAACUCCUCGAAAGGGGUGCUAAUACCGGAUAAUGUCUUCGGACCAAAGAUCUAUCGCCCUUGGAUGGGCCUGCGUUGGAUUAGCCCGCGGCUAGGGUAAAAGCCUACCCAGGCGACGAUCCAUAGCUGGUCUGAGAGGAUGAUCAGCCACGCUGGGACUGAGACACGGCCCAGACUCCUACGGGAGGCAGCAGUGGGGAAUAUUGGACAAUGGGCGAAGGCCUGAUCCAGCAAUGCCGCGUGAGUGAUGAAGGCCUUAGGGUUGUAAAGCUCUAUUACCCGGGAUGAUAAUGACAGUACCGGGAGAAUAAGCACCGGCUAACUCCGUG